rnacentral:lncRNA from 1 species
GGCCACGCAGCCUUUGGAGCCCACAAGGAUCACUUCAAACGAGAAGGACUUGGAGAGCCUGAAGAAGGAGGGGACUGCCCUUAUCCGCUUGCUGGAGGCCAUGGCCCCACCUGGCAGCCCCUAUAACAACAGCGUUGUUUCCUUGGCUAAAGAAAUCCUCGAAAUAGUCAGACGCCAAAAAUGAAGGCGACCAGGAAGGUUGUCCAGCAGCGCCAGCCCCUGGGUCUGGAGGACAGGACCUGGCCCUCUGAUCGCCAGCUGCAUUUCCCGGAAUCUGGUUCCAGCGGUCAGUU